CGAAAUCGGUAGACGCUACGGACUUAAUCCGUCGACUUUAUAAAUCG
rnacentral:tRNA from 1 species